CCACUUGUGCAGAAACAGGCCUGGGCAUCGCUUCCUCUUUCCUAAUGACGUCAGCAUGAAUAGGAAGCGUGAGAGGCUCGCUGGCUCGCUGCCGCCUAGAGACUCCAGCAGAAGGCUCGCCUGUCCCAUCACAAAGAGAAUAGAAGCAUUGGAGCUGACAGUCUCUGAGAUCCCUUCCAGCUCUGACACAUAGAUUUAGAAGCCUGUGUUUAGGUGUUUGUGUGUAUGGAGGUUUGAGAAAUUCUGAGGAAGAAAAACCAAGACACCUGACUGCUCUCUUCAUACCGUAUCAGGGAGGCAAAUGGCUCAGCCUCCUGGAGAGAAAAAGGAAGAGACAGGAUGAAAUGGGCAGCAGAUACCAAGUACAUGGUGUUGGCUGAGCCUGGAAGAAGGAACUGCAGUGCGUGGAAGACCACAGGGCUGUGAGAAAGGUCUGGCUCCAGGGCGGACCUGACCCACAGGCAGAAACCACUGGCGGCCCCUGCUCAUUCAGAGCGGACCUGGACAUGGCGCUGACCCCAUGGCUGCUCCCAAUAGCCCUGCUGGCUCUGUGCUGGGG